AUUGAACGCUGGCGGCAGGCCUAACACAUGCAAGUCGAGCGGAUGAAGGGAGCUUGCUCCUGGAUUCAGCGGCGGACGGGUGAGUAAUGCCUAGGAAUCUGCCUGGUAGUGGGGGAUAACGUCCGGAAACGGGCGCUAAUACCGCACACGUCCUGAGGGAGAAAGUGGGGGAUCUUCGGACCUCACGCUAUCAGAUGACCCUAGGUCGGAUUAGCUAGUUGGUGGGGUAAAGGCCUACCAAGGCGACGAUCCGUAACUGGUCUGAGAGGAUGAUCAGUCACACUGGAACUGAGACACGGUCCAGACUCCUACGGGAGGCAGCAGUGGGGAAUAUUGGACAAUGGGCGAAAGCUUGAUCCAGCCAUGCCGCGUGUGUGAAGAAGGUCUUCGGAUUGUAAAGCACUUUAAGUUGGGAGGAAGGGCAGUAAGUUAAUACCUUGCUGUUUUGACGUUACCAACAGAAUAAGCACCGGCUAACUUCGUG
rnacentral:rRNA from 1 species